rnacentral:rRNA from 1 species
AACGAACGCUGGCGGCAGGCUUAACACAUGCAAGUCGAACGCAUCCUUCGGGGUGAGUGGCAGACGGGUGAGUAACGCGUGGGAACGUGCCCUUCAGUUCGGGAUAACCCAGGGAAACUUGGGCUAAUACCGGAUACGUGCGAGAGCAGAAAGAUUUAUCGCUGAAGGAUCGGCCCGCGUCUGAUUAGCUAGUUGGUGGGGUAAUGGCCCACCAAGGCGACGAUCAGUAGCUGGUCUGAGAGGAUGAUCAGCCACAUCGGGACUGAGACACGGCCCAAACUCCGACGGGAGGCAGCAGUGGGGAAUAUUGGACAAUGGGCGCAAGCUUGAUCCAGCCAUGCCGCGUGAGUGAUGAAGGCCUUAGGGUUGUAAAGCUCUUUCGUCCGGGACGAUAAUGACGGUACCGGAAGAAGAAGCCCCGGCUAACUUCGUGCCAGCCGCCGCCGUAA